UAGGGAAUCUUCGGCAAUGGACGAAAGUCUGACCGAGCAACGCCGCGUGAGUGAAGAAGGUUUUCGGAUCGUAAAACUCUGUUGUUAGAGAAGAACAAGGACGUUAGUAACUGAACGUCCCCUGACGGUAUCUAACCAGAAAGCCACGGCUAACUACGUGCCAGCAGCCGCGGUAAUACGUAGGUGGCAAGCGUUGUCCGGAUUUAUUGGGCGUAAAGCGAGCGCAGGCGGUUUCUUAAGUCUGAUGUGAAAGCCCCCGGCUCAACCGGGGAGGGUCAUUGGAAACUGGGAGGCUUGAGUGCGGAAGAGGAGAGUGGAAUUCCAUGUGUAGCGGUGAAAUGCGUAGAUAUAUGGAGGAACACCAGUGGCGAAGGCGGCUCUCUGGUCUGUAACUGACGCUGAGGCUCGAAAGCGUGGGGAGCAAACAGG
rnacentral:rRNA from 1 species